GUGGUAGCUUAGCGGUACAGCGGUUGCCUUGCAUGCGGGAGGCACUGGGUUCGAUCCUCAGCAAUACA
rnacentral:tRNA from 1 species